GACGAACGCUGGCGGCGUGCUUAACACAUGCAAGUCGAACGAAGAGCGAUGGAAGCUUGCUUCUUUCAAUCUUAGUGGCGAACGGGUGUGUAACGCGUAAUCAACCUGCCCUUCAGAGGGGGACAACAGUUGGAAACGACUGCUAAUACCGCAUACGAUCCACUCUCGGCAUCGAGAGUGGAUGAAAGGUGGCCUCUAUUAAUAAGCUAUCACUGAAGGAGGGGAUUGCGUCUGAUUAGCUAGUUGGAGGGGUAACGGCCCACCAAGGCGAUGAUCAGUAGCCGGUCUGAGAGGAUGAACGGCCACAUUGGGACUGAGACACGGCCCAGACUCCUACGGGAGGCAGCAGUGGGGAAUCUUCCGCAAUGGACGAAAGUCUGACGGAGCAACGCCGCGUGAGUGAUGAUGGCCUUCGGGUUGUAAAGCUCUGUUAAUCGGGACGAAUGGUUCUUGUGCGAAUAGUGCGAGGAUU
rnacentral:rRNA from 1 species